UUGUAGCACUCACAAAUUCUAAAGUUACCAAGCACAUGACCACAGAGUACAACAGUGUACUUCAAAUUCAAGUGAGCCUAGUUUCCUUCGAGGCACACUUUGGAACUUGUUACCCGCGCACACUCUCGCACGAGACACAAACUAACACGAGGUUACCAUCGGCGAAAGGCCCACCCCACCGCCUGCAAACGUGCACCCGAGUCAAGCAAGCCUGUCCCCGCUCCUUUCACAGAACCCAAAGGGGAUAGGACAUUGACUCACCGGCCUAUGACCCGCUUUCACUGACUUAAAACGAGCACGUCCACUUCUUACUCUCGCGCUAAAUCUAGCGGCCGACCUCGCGGUGAGGAUCGGAACGUCCUGAAACCAGCCCUGAAACUGAACCGGUUCUGGCGAUGCAGAGCUUGUCCAGCAGGUCAUUUCCGCCCAAAUGAAUGACUAUUGUGAGAACACUAGCAACGGCUUCAAGGAUGCUCCCUAACUGAUUGAAGUGCCAGAAAAGAAACAUUAGGCAGAUGAAAAUCUACUCCUCUCACAGAUGAAUGCCAACUAAUUAUACGAGGCAACUUCAAAACUUCACGACAAAAC